rnacentral:tRNA from 1 species
GCCUGUUUAGCUCAGUCGGUAGAGCAUGCGGCUGUUAACCGCAGUGUCGGGGGUCCGAGUCCCUCAACAGGCGCCA